GGUGGAGGCACCAAAACUUCUCUGGGAUUGGUGGAAAAAGGAGAGAAAACUUCGACUGAAAUACGAUAAGGAAGGUAAACGGUCAAGCAAAGUGUGCAAGGUCGUUGAUGGAGUAUUCCAUGUGAAAUCCUCUCACCGGUCUGAGCCCCACCAACUGAACAUCAGAGGACCAACUUGCACCUGCAGAAACUUCAGCAGGACCCACUUCCCCUGCAGACAUAUUUUUCAAGCUAUCGAUGAUGGUUUAAUGAAAUGGGAGGACCUACCUGAAGAUUACAGAAACAUACCGUUCUUCGUAAAAGAUAAAGGAAGUGAUAUUGGGAUAUGGCCAACUGAUGCAGAUGUAAACAAAUGCUGCGAUUAUCCAGCAUCAGAAGACGAGGAUGAAGAAGUAGAAGAUGAUGAGGUUGGAGAAAAUGGGGAUAAAAGAAAGAAGA